AUGUGUUGGUCCUUGAUCUGCCCUCCAGUGACCCAAGGCAGGGCUGCGGGCCUGCAGGGAAUCGUUGGAUGGUGGGAUGGGGCUUUCUGCAAGCUGUACAUGUGUGAGUGCCUCCUGCGUCUCCCCCAAGGGCUCCGGGAGCAGUGCGGCCUCUGUCCCUGCGCAGCCUCCUUUACCCAGUCUCAUCCUGUCACCUACUUGACUCUGCUGCCUGGGGAGUGGCCACCUGCAGAGAUCAUGCCCCUCACUCCCACCCAAGGAAACUCCUUUGCCCCAGCUGACAUUCCUGCUAAGGGCUCACUCUUCUCCCUGAAGCCAGACUGUGGCUUAUGUCUGGACGCUGCUGGGCACAUCCCUUUCUUUUUGUGACAUGGGAUUGCCUCAUUCCCCAUGACACCACCCCUCUGCAUGAGAACAUUGCCCCUCGCCCCUUUCUCAGACUGAUACCUUCACUGCUGCUCACAAAAAGGCUGUGCUGCCAGAUUCUGAUGCCCUCAUUGCCAGCUACCCAGGACCCAUUCCCUGAACGUCACAUCUGGCUGCCCUUGCCUUCCCCUCCCAUCUCAAUGAUCCUGACCUUAGACAUCUCUGCCAGGCCAAACCCCAAGGCUGGAACACUCCUCAACCAUUUCUCCAUUGCAGCUUCCCGGCUGUAGAUUCAAGUUAGAGAUGGACCCAGAACACCUGAGACCUGACCCAGAAUGGAUGGGUGCGGCUUGAUGUGAAUGAGGUCCUGCAGUGACUCCUUGGGGUGAGCACUCUCAGACUCCCUUCUACUCCAGCCCCCUUUCCACAUCCCCCACCCUCCCCAGAGGACCUUGACCCAGACCUAGUGGGCACUGCCCCAUCUUGCAUCAGUCCCCUUUCAACAUCAUCUUGCUGUUUCUGUUUCAAAGGAAACGGUAUCCUCCCUCCACAAGUCACGCUGUCUGUCCUUGGCCCUCCAGCCUAGCAAGCCAGCCACCAUUUUUGGUUUCCUUCUCAGACGUGCCACCUCUCCUUCCCUCUGCCCAAAAUGCCAUGCUUCUCUAUCCUGGAAAAUACUCAAGUUGAUUCAGUAAAUCAACUUCAAAUACUUAAAGACUCCCACCUUCUGUCCACCUCCUCUUCACCUCCUUCCCCUUCUACACUUCCUUCCUGGGUUGCUCUGCCUGAGGCAUCCCACUAGGAUCAUCUAUUCCAAGGUCAUGGACAGGCUUCUAAUGACCAAAGUUGGUUCCUUUUCUUCUUUCUUUCCUCCUUGAAGCCUGGUUCCCUCGUUCCCGGCAGCCCCUCAGUGGCCUGGUUCUCCUGUCCCCCUGCCCUUCCUCACCAUUGCCCAUUCCCUCAUUCAUUCAUUUAGCAGAGGCCUUACCGUCUGCCUGAGUCAGCUCUGAGACACCUGAAGAGCCCUCCAGCUUCCCUCAGACUAGAUUCCAAGACCUUUGUUCUCGCCUCUUCUCGCUGACCCUAUUACUUCUCAGCAGAUGUGACCGAUUGGUAGCUCCACCCCUAUGUCCUUCUGCUGGGUGGAAUGCAGGGGCUAGCUGCCCCAACUCAUACUGUGACCUUGGGAAAAUACCUUUAUUAUUCAGGCCUCAGUUUCCUCAUCUUUAAGGGGCUUGGAUGAGAUGAUGUCAGGGGCCUUUUCUAUAAUAAAAUACCGUGCCCACCAGCAAAACUUUUAUGUCCUUCCUUGUGCUGCCACCAGCAUUAGUGUGGCAUACCCAAGAACUCUUCCUCAGCCCGGACCUUAGCUCCCUUCCCAGGGGAGUUUCAGCUGUGCCCAACUCAAACUGUUUUCUUGAUCUAAAAGUGGAGGUAAUCUAGGCUGGGUGUGGUGGCUCAUGCCUGUAAUUCAGCACUUUGGGAGGCUGAGGCAGGCGGAUCACUUGAGGUCAGGAGUUCGAGACC